rnacentral:lncRNA from 1 species
ACACAUCAACGAUGUUGCAGAAAUCAAUAAGAAAUUUCAAAAUUAACUCAACAGAUAAUCUAUUCACCAGGCAAGACUAUUAACUUAGAUUGUGUACCACAACUAUCAUUGCUUAAACGUGCAAAGCAAUGAAACUGAAAGCUCAACUAAUCCUAUAGAUCUUCCCAAUUCAAUUCACCACAAUACUGAUUCGGCAAGUAACAGUUAUCCAGUAUCAAAGAAGAAUUGACAUUCCUUACCAGAAGAUUGGUAAGGUACGAGGAAUGUAUACUGACUUUAGAAUUUGAGAGCUCAAACUAUAUCAUCGGAAGUUGGAGCUCUUGUGUCGAGGUGUUCGGUGAGCUCAUGGAUGGUGUGGGGAUAAAGGGAGACCGCCCAUUUGGCGAGCAAAGCAUUGAACGCAUUGUGCAUUUUCACUAGGAAUGGAUGGAUAAGCAAUAAUAGACAUUGUUUAAGGUUACUACCUUUUAUUUAUGUCCAAUUUUUCCUUUUUAUUUACUUGUGAUCAACUAUUGAGCUGAAGACUGUAAGAACUUGGUUGUGUGUGUUUAUCGUAGAGGCUAAAUAUAUUUCCAUUUUCUACAAAAAAUUUGGUAGAUUGGAUAUGUACUUGCUAACUCAACAGGUGUUACUUGCAAUAGUGACUAUAACAAAAAUAAUCGCAAAUAAAC